CUUUCCAGAGAUGAAAAUACCCACCUCUUUUUGCUUGCGUGCUUGAGGGCUAUAUAAAGAUCUGCACCUUUAUAUAGACAGUUAUUUAAAUAGCACAGAUAUCUGGAGCAGCGAACCCAACACAAAACUCCCUGCUCAGUAUUUCUUCUUCUCACCCCAGGGUUGCGUUUAGCCCUCCAUUUCUCAGCUUCAGUCCCACCUGCCUCCUGCUGCUCUCACCCUGUUAAACUCGCGGGCUGCAGAAGGGAGCCCGAGGCUGCCCCGACCCUGAGCCUGGGGCGGGGCUGGAGACAAGGCCGCAGGCCCAUGGCUGUUUCAACACACCUUGCAGAUCCUCCCUGAGAAACUAAGGAUCAGCGGUGCUUCUCUUGUGCAACCUGUGCCAUGGCGCAGGAUGGAGCCUGGGGUCUCCAGCAUGGUACAGACCACUGAGAGCAUGUGAAAGCUUGGGCAAGCAUUCCCAAAAUGCCUUGCUGCUGAAGAAGCAGGACGUAUGCCCAACCAUUCCCACAGUGGCUCUGCCCACUGCCCUGGAAAAAAACACUCUUCUUUCAUUGGGUCAGAAAGUCCUUGCUGGAGUCCCACUUGUCCAGGAAGGCUUGAAUAAUGCCCAAGGAAAUCAACAGCAAACUCCUACAGGGCAGAAGAGAACUCCAGGAGAUAAAAUAUGGAAAACCAGAGUAGUCCUGUGGUUACAUGAACAUUUUUUCUCACCAAGAGCACUGGCUUCUGUAGCUCCUGUUGCUGUUGUGUGUUGUUCUCCCAUUGUGAGCUGUGCCACUGCCCUUUGUCGUACUGAUACAACUCUUCUCAAGGGCCACAUGGUUGAGUGGAACCAGGAACGAAUCCAAAUUUAGAAACUUUUUUUUUAACUACUGCCUGUAAAUUCAAGAAACUGGCCAAUAACAGUCUCUCACUCUUCUUAAGCAGUCCCUGAAGUCAAGAAUUAGUAUGUGGUUAGGAGUGAAAAACUAGGUAUUUUCCAGGAAUCCAGAGGAACAAUUUAUUUUGAGAAGCAAGUAUCAUGAAUUUAAAAAUGUAAAUGGGAGGGAGAAUUAGGGGAGAAGCUCUAAUAUACUAGAAACCUCACAAUUCUUCUGGAUUUCAGCUAUGCUUCAUUGCAUUGAUCUUGUAUAUUAAAUCGUUUAAUCCAUCACCUGCCCAGUGCAAGAAGAGAUUAGUAAAUGAAUGGGAUCACUGACACUGGCAAUUAAUAACAUUGUUCUAUUUAUAGUGCUACAAGCAUGUGUAGGAGGGAUCGCUAGGUGUAUUUUACACAGGUAAGAAGAACCAGAUAACAUUAUGACUAUGGGGAUAGGUGCUUUGUAACUCUAAGUGAGCCUGAUGUCACAAGGAUCCAAACAGACAGUGCCCAGAUGAUUUAGCAUCACAGAAACCCACUACAAGCGUUAGGACUCAGAUUUCCAUAGUGCUGAGCAUUUCCUGGAAAAUGUUGAAAAUCCUCAUUCUUUGAACGGCAGCUGAGGGCUUCCAGCACAUUUGGUGAGGUGUGAAAAGUAGCUUUUAAUAAUAGGCCUACGAGGGUGGGAAAGUAAUACAAUAGGACCCCCCCCUCCCCCGACCUUAAAAUACAAAGCUGAGGACUUAUCUCAAGGAAUGUGUUUGCCCUCCUCCUCCUUUUGUUUCCCCAGAUCUUUCUGAUUGCCAGAUUCCUCAGCUGGAAGUGUCCUGAUCAAUAAGAAAAAAACUAUAAGGAAGGAAAACUUUCAAAUGCCAUCUUCACUGCCUCUAAUCCAUCGUGUGACCACAAUGGUUAUAUCACUGUUACUGAGGGUUUAGAACAACUUUGUUACCAGGUGUUCAUAAAAUAAGAAAUAAAAAAGGCCUUUUCUCU
rnacentral:lncRNA from 1 species